rnacentral:rRNA from 1 species
UGAGGAAUAUUGGGCAAUGCCCGCAAGGGUGACCCAGCAACGCCGCAUGGAGGAUGAAUGUCGUAAGAUUGUAAACUCCUGUUAGAGGGGAAGAAUAGUACCGGUUGGACCGGUAUAUGACUGUACCCUCAGAGAAAGCCCCGGCUAACUACGUGCCAGCAGCCGCGGUAAUACGUAGGGGGCAAGCGUUGUCCGGAUUUACUGGGUGUAAAGGGCGCGCAGGCGGGAUAAAAAGUCAGUGGUGAAAUCCUACAGCUUAACUGUAGAACUGCCUUUGAUACUUUUAUUCUUGAGUUCGGGAGAGAGAGACGGAAUUCCAGGUGUAGUGGUGAAAUACGUAGAUAUCUGGAAGAACACCAGUUGCGAAGGCGGUCUCUUGGUCCGACACUGACGCUGAGGCGCGAAAGCGUGGGGAGCAAACA